UACGUAGGUGGCAAGCGUUGUCCGGAUUUACUGGGCGUAAAGGGCGUGCAGGCGGUUUGUUAAGUGCAGGGUGAAAGCUCCCGGCUCAACUGGGAGAGGUCCUUGCAUACUGGCGAACUCGAGGGAGGCAGAGGAAAGUGGAAUUCCCGGUGUAGUGGUGAUAUGCGUAGAUAUCGGGAGGAACACCAGUGGCGAAGGCGGCGACCUGGGCCAAUAUUGACGCUGAGGUGCGAAAGCGUGGGGAGCAAACAGG
rnacentral:rRNA from 1 species